rnacentral:misc_RNA from 1 species
UCGCAAGUGUGCAGUUCUCUUCAGAGAUUUUCAUCAGAAGAGGUUGUACCCGUAGCAAACAUGUGGUGAACCCCGAAUACAGCAUUCCCCAGUGGUAUUGCCUCCAGACAAUCCCUCAAUUCACAAAAAGACAGGCUGGCCAAAAAAAAAAAGCUUCAGGCAUCAGACAACAUAUCAGGAGUAACUGUUUUUUUGCAGCUAUUUUGUGUAAUGUAUGUUGGAGUGACUGCCAAGUGUUUUCUCUUUUCUAGUCUAGUAUCUCUGUGUCUAUGGAGCCUCAUUCGUCAGGGAACAUUCCUAUAUAAAACAUUCCAGUCUGUUAUAUUCCAUGAGUGACUACCAUGUAUCUGUGAUAAUCUAUGUGCAGCAAUAUUUAUACUUUUAUGUACUUUUUAAAAAAUAUCAUGUACAUGUAUAUGUUUAUGUAAAAUAUAUAUGUAUUAAUAAACUAAUUAAUGC